GUGGUUUAUGAACAGGAAUGAGCUCUCCUGCUGUGAGCACAAACUGCAGCUACUCUCCCAUUAGUUUUUAUGCUAUUCAUUUCCUGAAGAUAAGCCGGUUCUGCGCUUUGGUGCUCCUCCACACAGAUCUGUCUGCAGUUCGAAAUCUGGGAAGUCCAGAAUCAUGGCACUGGCAGAUUUGGUGUCUUAUGAGGACCCACUUCCUGGUUCACAGACUAUCUUCGUGCUGUGUCUUUGCAUCAUGGAAGGGCCUGAAGGCAGAAUGUGAAGGCUGAACAGCUAUGAUUUACCCGGUUCUGCAUCCAUUAAGAAUAGUGUGUUGAAGUUGCUCAUUCAUCUCCUUAGAGAGCGGGGAAAAGGAUGCACUGUGCAUUUGGAUAAUGGUUCAUAUGUUUCAAGCUCUGAAGAGGGGCAUGGUUCAAUCCCUAGUCAGCUCUUGGCAUAACUUCCUAAGAGAAUGAGACUAUAGCAAGACAACCAGCUCUUUCUCACGUGGAUGAUGGCUACCAAAAUGUGUGGUUUGUAUUAAGGGGAAGGUUUUCUGUGGCUCCAUUUCUUUACAUCUGCAAAUGAUGUUCUGAGGGCCUGCCAACAGGCCCUGUGCUUUUUGUUGUCUCAUCCUAACAGGUCCUCCUUAGUCUGCUUUGGUUUAUCUGCUUAUAAAUCAGUGUGAGGUUGGAGCACAGAAGAUCUGGAGCACAGGUUUCUUACUCUUCCAUUCAACUGCCAUAAAACUUAAUCAUAAUCAACAUGCCUAUGUGAACUAACCCCAUAUUCAUUGCCUGAGCAAUGAACAGCUCAAUCUUAAGCCUUAGGAAUGAGUACUUUCUCCAAACACACCACUGGGGAAAUAGAGAUAUUUAUGGUGAAUGAUGAUGCUUUCAACAGUUAAGCAUGAUGUUGAUGUUGCACUCACUUAAGAAGCAAGGUUUGUCAUUCCAUGGAAUUGAACUAUUCAAUGGGAAUACCAAUAUUCACACUUUCAGGGACAGAGGCAAAACAUAUGGAGGAAAUUCUUGGAUUUACAUGCAAAUAAAUGCUGUAUGAUUAAAAUAAAUGAAAAGAGGAGGAGGGUAUAUAUGCAGGCAGAGUAAGGAGAAAGCAAUUGAUUUACUGACCUAUAAAAUUUGAAGGAGCAUUAGAUAACUUACAGGGUUUCCUGUGGCUCUAAAAUAGGGGUGUGUGAAAAAUUGAUCCUGUGGGUACUAUCAGUCUACAGACAUGUUUUUUAUGGUUCAGAUUUAUUCUAUUAAACUUGGAUGUGAAAUUUAAAACUCAUAAUAUCACACAUUAAAAUCCAGAUUUAUGACUUAUCUUGAAAAAUGGAAAAGUUUGGGAAUACUGGGCCCACAUUUUCAAUGGGCAAUAAUGAGCUGGCAAUCCCCUGAGCCCUCUGAGGUAUGUACUCUGGGUCACCUCUUUCUUUCCACUUACUCUAGGGACUCCUCUAAAUUACAUUGUCCCUUAUUAUACUUGAUACUUUCAAAUCUGUUUAAAGCUUUUGUCACUCUGAUUUUCUAGCUUAGUGACCCAUUCAUUCAAUGCCAUUUUAAAACCUCAUACAUAAAAUCACCUAAGAUAAAUUCUUCCCUGGGACUGCCUUGUCUGCACAGAAUCCUUUCCGCUCUCUCUGCAAACAUGAUUGAAGACCAUACUGCACUAUUUUCUAUCAUUAAACAUGUAGUAUACCAGAUUUGGGUCUGUUUUCUUCAAAAUGUCUUCAAGUUUCCUAAGGGGCUGAAGUUACUGUUGGAUAUUUUUGAUAAAUGAAUGUAUUUUAUUUUGCAUUUAAAAGACAUAUUCUCACUGCCUUCACCUUCAUUUUCAAAAUGAUAGAGCUAAAAUAUAACAAAAUUGGGGAAAUAUCAUUUAUCUUAUGAGAUUGGCAUAUCAACUGCCAGUUUCUUCAGGUAAAUUUGCAUUUUCACAUGUUUAAAUCUUUCUGAUAUUUUAGUUUCUAAUUAUUGCUUUGUCUCAAUUAUAAAUUCCUCUUACCUUAAAAAAUUUUUUUAUCACCUUCAGAUAUUAAAAAGUUUCUGAAAAAAUUAGGUACAUAUCAUUUUUAUAGUAACCUAAAUCAUUUCUCACCAAAGUUUUACCUUAUUUGGUGAAAUUUGGGGCGUUGGCUACUACAUUCUAGCACUGUUCUAAGAAUAGUGUUUGUUGUUACUAUUCUAGUUUAAUCCAACAGACUCUUAUCCUCUUCAGUAUUCUAUUACCCUGCAUUGGUGUUAUAAGCCAAGAUGAUAUCACUGUCACAAACUACUGAACUUACUAUGAUUCAAAUGGUCAAAAACUAAUUAUUUAAAUGAGGGCACUACAGAGGGAAAACAAAAGUUACAGAUCCAGUUUUUGAUGUAUUCCUUGACCUUAUUUCUGGACAUGCCAUCUCAUGUAGUUUGAUUGCUUUGUGAUAGCACAGUGCAGAGCUUCAAUUUCUAAUGGAAAAAUGUUGUUCUCAUUGAUAUUUUUCCUAGGUACAUAACAGGAGUUUCAUGUUUUCAGAAGAGUAAAUAUAGACUAAUUGAUAUCUUAAAAGGCAUAAAUAUGUGAAUGAAUGAAAAGGUGAGUAAAUAAGUGCUUACUCCUUUAGUAACUUCCCACUGAUGUUUUCAUUUCCCAGAAUGACCAGGGCCUUCACAUUACCGUGGCCUGUAAUGUCCAGCUCUAGUCAACUCCUGCAACCUCAUAUCGUUGCUCCUUUACUUAGCCUUCAGUUCUACUCAUGACCUUCGCGUACCUAGUGUCUUUCUACUGCAGUCCUUAGCAUUUACUUCUUUUGAUUGGGAAGAUAUUCCCACAGCAUUGUGCACAGGUGGCUACUCCACAUUCUCCAUCCCUUCUUGCUUAUCACCCCCAUUUAGAGAUUUUCUUUGAUUAUUUUGAAGUGAGAUUCUCCAGUUCAUCUCCAUUUUUUUAUUCACUUUUUUUCUUCCUAGUAUUAAUACAGCCUAAUAUUAUAUUGCUGAAGUAAAUAUUUUCUAGUUUACUUCUUUUGCACAUUAAGUUACAAAUGCCAUAAGGAUAGUGACCAAUUUUGUCUUAUUCAUCUCUGUAUCCGAAGAGCCUGCUACAUUGUCACUGACUUAAUGAUAGAAUAAAUGGUGAAUGAAUAAUAAAAUCGGAAAUCAGGUUAUCUAUGUAGGAAUUCCUUUCAAUGCCAUAUUUCAUCGUAUGCUGGUGUGUGUAAGUCUUAAGAAACAGUUGGUUUUGUAAACUUUUUUAUUUUUCCUUAAUGUUUGCCCAUAAAGACUGAGAUUAGGUGAUUAAGUGGCUUAUUGUUAUGCUGCAUUUGAAAAUGCUGUCCAGUCUUGUAAUCUGAAUGUUUCACAAAACCAUCAUGAAGAUUUUCAUAAAGCAGUAGCACAAUUAGAAGGGAGAUGGAACACAGAGACAAUAACAGAUACAAUAUCUCAUCCAUGAUUGUCUUUAAUGUCAUCCACUUAGGAGUAGGAAAAGUUAUCUUGAAAUUGAAAUGUGGAUAUACAUUUUGAAUUCUUAGAAAGCUGGCAUGGGGAUAAACAGACCUAUUUUUCUAUGAUUAAUUAGUUGUGAACUCUGGGCACAAAUCACUUAGCUACACUGAGUGUUGGUUUACUCAUCCAUAGAAGUAUAUUUGAGUAGUUAGUCGAAUAGCUGUCCAGCUGUGCUUUGUUGAAAGCUAUAAGCUGGGGUCAAGUAUGUGAAGGAGUCCCAAAUGCCCUACCACUAUACCCCCAAUCUAUCCAGAGAAACCUUGCUUUAAUUCAGUUUUUAUGUUGGAGAGAUCAAUAAAUUUUGAUUUUUUUCAAUUAGUUCUUAGUACUUAAGAGCAUUUGAAAUCUGCUAGGGUAGAUUGUUUUCAAUAUCCCGUGGUAUUUUUUAUAAUAAGAAAAAUAUGAAUUCAAUAUUUAAAGACUUAAUUGAAAAUUCAUUCUAUGCAAGGCACUAUGUUAAAUGCUGUAAGAUGAUAUCCAUACACAGUUGGUUUAUAGCCUCACCCAGUCUAAGGUUACCAUAAUACAAGGUAAAUGUGUAUUAGAAGGACAUAACAGUGACAUAAGCACAGACACAUAAAGUUCAGAAGAGAGGGAACUUAAGAUAGUUGUAUGUAUGUAUAAAUGCAUGUUGCAUAUGAAUAUAUGUAAUAUAAAUAUGCAUUGCAGAUUGCAAAUGAAUAUUAUAUAUGUCCAUGUGCAACUUUUGUAUAACAAAUAUAUUAUAUGUGCACAUAUAUCUGUUCAUAUGCAACCUAGAAAGAAUGAAGCAAAUGUGUGUUUAAUAGACAUGUGUCUAACAUAGAACUUUCAUCUGCCUUAAUAAUCUGCUCUCCUGAGUCAUAAGCCUUUCCCAUAGGAACACUGGGAGGAUAGCUGCAAUUGCUCAUGGAUUUUUCAUAUUUCUUGCCCAUAUUAUGUCAGCAUCUUUGUGUUCAAGGUGGUACAGGCAAUGGUUGUGGUCCAUAAGGAGACAGAUUUGUCAAACAUUGCUUUGGCUCAUUAAAUGGACACCAAUUUUACAUUGCAAAUUGUUUCAUGGUAGCUAAACAUAUUGUAUCAGGAAAUUUACCAGAUUUUUAUUUAUUUGUGUAUAUUUGUUUUUACUAUGCUGGGGAUUGAAUCCUGUGGAGCUCAUACACUAGGUAAAUGCUUUACCACUAAAUCAUAUUCCCAGCUCCAAAACUUUUAAAAAGUAACUUUAAAAUUUCAUGGUAAGAACAUAUUUCAGGUAGUAUCAUACUUGCUUAGAACAUCUGAAUGGGUUCAAAGAUUGUUAGUACCUUCUGAAGGUCCAUAUAAUGCUUAUCUUUAAAUUUCUGUUUUAUUCAUCUUUUCAUUUCUUCAGUAUAGCAUGUACCUUAAGUAUAAAGUACCUUAUAUAUAAAGAGGGGGUGUUCAUAAGGUCUUAUUAUGUUGUGCAGGCUGGUCUCAAACUCAUGGGAUCAAGGAAGCCUCUCAUCUCAGCGCCCUGAGUGAUGGGGACUAUAAGUAUGCAACACCCUUCCUGACUCAAUCGUUAUUUAAAAAGUGAAUCUCAUCUAUUGUUUUAUAGGCAUAUAUACCUUAUUAAGAGGAACUGGCAGUGGUUUAAAAUGUGCUAGAAAUACCAAUAACAUGUUGUCAACAAGUUGCCCCAGAUUAAAUUUACCCCAUCAGUUCUCAAGUGGAAAGAAGAAAAUAUUGAGUCUUAUGAUUGUAUUUGUAAAAUCAGAGUAUUUUAGGAUGUUGCUACCAAUCCUAAUGGAACUGCAAUAAAGUAAGAACAUACAAAUUUAAAAAAAAACUGUUGAGCUUUGAGAAUGCCUUGGGGAAAAAAAAAGUGGAAACACUUCUCAAAUACACAACAGUAUGCAGUCAUCAUCUAUAUCAGAGAUACAUAAAGGUUUUCUGCACAGGAAAACAUAAUAACAGUUUUGGCUUUGUGAACAAGAAAGUAUUUAUAGGAACCACCCAACUCUGCCUUUCUAUCUCUACAACUGUAGAAAACCUAUUAAUGGACAGACCUAUCUGUGUUCCAAAUAGGCAAAGGGUUGGUUUUGACACAUGGGUCCAUAGUUCCACUAUAUACAAUUCCAGAUAUAUAAAAUCACAAACAAUUAUUGUAAAUGUCCUCAUUUUACCACCAAUAUUGGAAGUUCUUUUAAUUGGAUAGUCAUUAAUAUUUUCAAAAGAAUAAUCUUCAAAUUCUUCACUCCAAGCUUUCAUUUAAGGAAUUAAAUUAAAAUAGAAAUGUUCUCUAAUUUACCACAUUAUAUCAGUCUUUGAAAGAUGCAGUAUUUCAACUGCUUUUAUCAUAUAUAACAUGAACUUGAUUUCAUUAGUGAACUUCAUUUUCACAAAAAUAUUAUCUAUUGGACAAAAACCAAUAAUAAUAUUGAUUGAAGAUCAUAAUUUUAAGCUAAUAAUUAUUUUAGGAUUUAAAUAUUUUGAGCAUGACUGACAUAACAAGGUAAGAUGUUUUGAUGUUGAAAGGAUGAGCAGAAAACCCUUGAACUAACUUAAUUCAGAAGAAGAUGUGAUUUACCUGAAAGUAAAACCAAAGUUUGAAUUCUCAGCUCAGUUAAAAUGUCAUUACAUAUUUUGUUAAUUUUAUAUAACUCAGUAGCUUCAAGUUUUAAAACUAUUGUACUGGCUUAUGUGCAAGUAUUCAUUGUUCUAAAAUAACAGAGCACACGAAUAGAUUUUUUUCAAGUGUCCCCUUUGUCCAUAUGAAAGGCAAUGUGUUUUAGUGUAAAACAGUACUGGACAAGAAUUGGGGGCCUUGGUUACCAAACCAUGGUAACCAUUUACAUGCUGUAAAUCAACUAACACUGAAAAAGCUGGUUAUCAGACUCUCAAGUGCAUGUGUAUAUAAUAGAGGGAUAAUCCUAUUCACCUGUACUAUGAUGAUAACUUACAUUAAUAACUAUUAAAGUUGUUUAUUAGUUAUGAAAUUAUACAUAAAACCAAUGCAAAGAUAUUUUUGCUUUCACUGCUAAAAAAGUAGUUUUAAGCAUUGCUGCUUCUAAAUUGCAAGUUAACAUUUUGUAUUUAUUUUUUAUUUUUAUUUUUUAUUUUUAUUUGCAGAAGGGAGGAUAGAGUCCUUUUCUAAAUAACUAUUGAAUUGUGUUUGGAGUCCUUCCCCACUUUAAGGUAUCAUAAUUGCCUUGGGCAUGUUUAAGCUGGAUGAGUGGGUCUCUAAUCCCGUUCAACAGUUUGAAAUAUGAGUAUGAUGCAAUUGGACUCCACAUACAUAUUUUUGUCAAUACAUUUCACAGUAUACAGUGGAUGGGACAAUAUCACAACAGGCAACUUUAUUAUUUUUUUUUUUAGAAUUUGAUCCAAAAA